AUGGAAAUGAUAUUAGAACUUCAGCAAAGUGCACAGCCGCAUAAUACAGAAGCCAGGACUCAGAUUGACAGGCAAAUAAGCCAGCUCGUGGAAGGGGCCUCUGGGUGGCAGCUCUGGGCUAUUGGGUGUUGGACAACUAUAGGCAAAACUGAAAUGGAACAGGGGCAGAAAAUAGCACACUUUUACGCCACGCAACCGUUGCUUUCGCAUGAUCUUUUGGAAUAUUACUGGGAUAACUGUCCAAAUGAAGUUCCAAGUACUCUAUACAAAUGUCUACAGAUGCACGGCUGGUGGUGUGGCUCAGACGGAGCAAGGGUUACAUCAAGGCUGUUCUCUGGACCGUGCAAACAGUCUAGACCAAUGACCUGCAGCAUCAUGCCCUUUGAAGAAGAGGCAAGUUCGGUCAUGAUGAAGAAAAAUCAAGGCGUACCCCCUUUAACAAUAGGGAGCAGCUCGAGGCUGCAAAGAGGUAAGCAGGGUAGGAAGAAAACGGCAUCUGCUUCCAUGGUUACAGGCCAACUAUGA
rnacentral:lncRNA from 1 species